rnacentral:lncRNA from 1 species
GAGACUAAGAUGAACAUACAGAAGAUCCAAAAAAAUCUUCAACGAAAUUCUUAACCAUUAAAAGAUUAAAAAGAAAAUAAAUAGUAAUUAAAAUAAUGAUAACUAAAUCUGAUAUAAAAACUAAUAAAAAAAUAAUCAGAAACUUAAUCGAAAAAUAAAAUAAAAAAAGAGCAAUUAAAAGAAUGAGAACCAAAAUUAAAUAAAAAAACAAAUGAAAUAAAAUACCGAGGGACAAAAUUGAAAGAUAAAACAAAUUAAGAAAAGAAUAAAAAAUGAGCAAAUAAAAAAAUAAGAACUAAAUCAGGAAAAAAAAGAAUUGAAAUAAAAUAUUAAGGGGGAAAAUUGAAAGAAAAAAAUCAAGAAAAAGUAAAAAAAAAAAAA